AUUGAACGCUGGCGGCAUGCUUUACACAUGCAAGUCGAACGGCAGCGCGGGCUUCGGCCUGGCGGCGAGUGGCGAACGGGUGAGUAAUACAUCGGAACGUGCCCGGUAGUGGGGGAUAGCUCGGCGAAAACCGGAUUAAUACCGCAUACGACCUGAGGGUGAAAGCGGGGGAUCUUCGGACCUCGCGCUAUUGGAGCGGCCGAUGGCAGAUUAGCUAGUUGGUGGGGUAAAGGCCUACCAAGGCGACGAUCUGUAGCUGGUCUGAGAGGACGACCAGCCACACUGGGACUGAGACACGGCCCAGACUCCUACGGGAGGCAGCAGUGGGGAAUUUUGGACAAUGGGCGAAAGCCUGAUCCAGCAAUGCCGCGUGUGUGAUGAAGGCCUUCGGGUUGUAAAGCACUUUUGGCGGGAACGAAAAGGACUGUGCCAAUACCACGGUUCGAUGACGGUACCCGCAGAAUAAGCACCGGCUAACUACGUG
rnacentral:rRNA from 1 species